rnacentral:rRNA from 1 species
AGAGCUUUCCCCUUCGGGGGACAAAGUGACAGGUGGUGCAUGGUUGUCGUCAGCUCGUGUCGUGAGAUGUUGGGUUAAGUCCCGCAACGAGCGCAACCCUUAAGCUUAGUUGCCAUCAUUAAGUUGGGCACUCUAAGUUGACUGCCGGUGACAAACCGGAGGAAGGUGGGGAUGACGUCAAAUCAUCAUGCCCCUUAUGAUUUGGGCUACACACGUGCUACAAUGGACAAUACAAAGGGCAGCUAAACCGCGAGGUCAUGCAAAUCCCAUAAAGUUGUUCUCAGUUCGGAUUGUAGUCUGCAACUCGACUACAUGAAGCUGGAAUCGCUAGUAAUCGUAGAUCAGCAUGCUACGGUGAAUACGUUCCCGGGUCUUGUACACACCGCCCGUCACACCACGAGAGUUUGUAACACCCGAAGCCGGUGGAGUAACCAUUAUGGAGCUAGCCGUCGAAGGUGGGACAAAUGAUUGGGGUGAAGUCGUAACAAGGUAGCCGUAUCGGAAGGUGCGGCUGGAUCACCUCCUUUCUAAGGA